rnacentral:lncRNA from 1 species
GCGUGAGUUGAUUUUCUUGGCUCGAUCUGUCCUUUCUGAGCUCUAGUCAUAGCACUUUGCAGAGCAUCCUGGGCACCCUGGUGGUGCAGCUGCAGCCUGCGGCGGUCCUUAGCCCCAGGGUCUUUGUUUCACAAAACCCUCUGGUACUGUUGUGGUUUUGUAUUCUUCCAGUGUUCUCUCUCUCUGUCUCUCCUAACUAUUCAAAAGUAUCUUUGCUCUUUUGCCCUUUCCUUUGACCUUCUGUUCUAAUCCUGCUUUGGAAUUAGCCGGUGUGGGGAGAGGUACACCAUGUCGGAGAGAAGAAAGAGUGCCUGUUACUGG